rnacentral:rRNA from 1 species
GAUGAACGCUGGCGGCGUGCCUAAUACAUGCAAGUCGAGCGAAGGGAGGAGGAGCUUGCUCCUCUGGUAUUAGCGGCGAACGGGUGAGUAACACGUGGAUAACCUACCUAUAAGACUGGGAUAACUUCGGGAAACCGGAGCUAAUACCGGAUGAUAUUUUGAACCGCAUGGUUCAAAAGUGAAAGAAGGUCUUGCUGUCACUGAUAGAUGGAUCCCGGCUGCUUUAGCUGGUUGGUAAGGUAACGGCCUCCAAAGGCAACGAAGUAUAGCCGACCUGGGAGGGGGAUAGCCCACCCGGGAACGGAGCCACGGUCAAUACGCCUAAGGGAGGCACCAGUAGGGAACCUUAGGCAGUGGGGGAAAGCCUGACGCAGCAAGCCCGCGUGAGAGACAACGGUCUCGGGUUCGGAAAACCCGGUUAUGGGGGAAAAACCUAUUUGUACGGAAAUGUGCACAAAGUGACGGUACCUACUCAGAAAGCCCCGGCUAACUACGUG